rnacentral:rRNA from 1 species
CGCCUCUUUAUCAAAAACAUAGCCUUAAGAAAUGAUUUAAGGUAAGCCCUGCCCAGUGGAAAUAUUCUUAACGGCCGCAGUACCUUGACUGUGCUAAGGUAGCGUAAUCAGUUGGCUUUUAAAUGGAGUCCAGAAUGAAUGGGGCCAUGGGGAGAGACUGUCUCUUUCUUGUUUAAUUAAACUUGCUUAAUAGGUGAAAAUACCUUUAUUAAAGAAAAAAGACGAGAAGACCCUUAGAGCCUAACAAUAUAAUGUAUUUUAUUUGUUUUUGUUGGGGCGACAAGAAGACAAAUAUAAAAACUCUUCUUUUAUACUAAACGAUUAUAAUAUAAAAGAGCAGGCUACCUAAGGGAUAACAGCAUAAUUAUAUUUUAGUUUGUGACCUCGAUGUUGGACUAGGAACUUGAUGACUAGUCGUCAAUAAAGGAAAGU